rnacentral:lncRNA from 1 species
UGUGGACUAAGCUAUUAGUGUGUAGGUUACCAUUUAUCACCAGAGUAAUAUUUGUAUGAACCAAUCUGUUGCCCACCUGUAUAUGGGAAUUCUGUCUGCAUGAUGCAGGUGGAUUCUGGGUUCCCCAAUUGUUUCUGGAAAUAAACACAAUCUGCAUGAGCAGAUACUGCUUGUUAAGGUUGUUAAACUUUGCCAUGCAAAACACAAUGAUGGGGAGGGGGAGAUUGUACCAUCAAAUUAAAUUGUGCACUUUCACAGCCUGGCCAUUUUGCACAACCAUCUUUAAGGCAGCUCUGGGCACAACGGGUUGCAAAGAGUCUUAAUUGGAAAGCGGUUUGAACAUGGCUGAUAUUUUGAUUCUUGGAUAAAAGGCACCGGGAGUUAAUGAAGGCACCUGGAGGCUCCCCUGGGAAGAUAACCCUCCUGUUGUCACCUGGAGGAGGCUGCGCAUCUCCGUUUCCAGGCAGGGUGAAAGCAAAACGGCACCUCUGGCCUGGCCUGAGGGCAGCAGCAUCCUGGGCUGCGUCCGGCCUGCCCUUCCUAACCUCAACUGGGGAAGGGCGGGACAGGUGUGGGGCCGCCACCCCCGAGGAGCACCCGAUCCUCCUGGCUCAGGUGCGGGGGAGAGCGGGCGCAGCAUCCAGGUUCCCUCGGGACGGCUCAGGUGGACCGGGUGGGAUGGGGAAGCCCCCCUCAAAGCCCCCGAGAUGCGGGCAUGCAUGGCGAAAUCACGAAAUGCCACGAAAGAAACGGCGGGCUCCGCAGCCCCAGCAAGAGGUGUGACACACCGUUACGAAAAUGUUAAAGUAGUGGAGAUAUCUGUGCAGCCAACUGCAGUUGAAGAGGUUGUAUCGGAAGGGAAAGACACUAUUGAAGUCCUGCAACCUUCCAACACAGGUGAAAUUGCAGCAAAAAAGGAAGAGCAAACUUUGAAUGAUCUUGUGAAUCUUUUGCAAGAUGUGGUAAAAAAUAUCCCCACAGAACUUGUAUUGUCAACUGAACCACCAGCAACUCUUUUGGUACCCAGGCUAGUAACUUCUCCCUCUGUAGCAAUGGACACUGUUUGGGUGAAUGUGAACCCCCAAAAUAGUGACAAGUCCAGAACAAUUGCCUUGAUGAAAAAGGAUACUCCAACUACAACAGCCUUUUGGAAACUCAGAAAUGACGCAUCUGCAUCUGUUAUCCUGCAUUCCAACCCAAGUCCCUCAGAAUAUCUCCCAAGUGACACAAGUGAGUCUGUUAUUCUGAUUUCUGAAGAGCCAAAUCCAGGAAAUACAUUGGGCACCAUUUCAGUUCAGUUGGAAAAAGAAGCAACCACUAAGAAAGAAGCUCCACCUAUAACAGAAAUGAAGUUGGACAUAGAGCUGCCUUCCUCCCUCUCAUCUGAAGCAUCUGAGACAGAAAUAAAGCUGGACAUAGAUAUCACUCCUUCCUCGUCCACAGUUCCACCCACCACGCAAGUGGAGAUAGAAAUGUCUCCUUCCCCAUCAACAACUGCAUCUGUACCAGAAGUGGACAUCAUUUUGCCUGCAUCUGAGUCUCCGGAAAAGAAAGCAGAAGACACAGAAAAAGAAAUGGGGAAAUUAAAAGCAUUUAUUAAUUUAUUAUAUGGCUUUAGUCCUGAAUUAACUGAAUAUGCAGAGAAUUCACCACAUAAAAAGAUGGCUCAGGAUAUUGUUGAAAGAUCAAUGGAAGUCCUUGAUGCCAUAAAGAGUGUUUUUUGCGGAAAUCCUAAAAAGCAAAGUAAACAGAUUUUGAAGCAGUUGUUACAGAAAGACAUGGAGCUUGUAAGACAAGCCAUGAAGGGAAAAAAAGCCUCUUAAGAUACAUUUACUGCUUGGUACUGUAGGUUUUUAUGAACAAUCAAGAGGUCUGGUUUCUUAAUUGUAACAGCAAUUGAAAUACACCUGUAGCCAUUUUCAUGCCUGAAAUUAAAUGUUUGUUUUUAAACAUUUUUG